AGAGGUAUCGUAAUUGAAGAGGUUUGGAAAGACCCACCACAGAAGGUAAUAGUCCUGUAUGUUAAAUGAGAAGACUUUAGAUAUGAUCCAGAGUACCACUGGACACGUGAAACCCUGUGGGAAGCAGGAGGGACCACCCUCCAAGGCUAAAUACUACCUAGUGACCGAUAGCGUAUAGUACCGUGAGGGAAAGGUGAAAAGAACCCCGGGAGGGGAGUGAAAUAGAACCUGAAACCCUGCACUUACAAGCUGUGGAAGCACAUUUCUUGUGUGACCGCGUACUUUUUGUAGAACGGGCCAACGAGUUACGUUAAGUAGCAAGGUUAAGCACUUAAGGUGCGGAGCCGUAGCGAAAGCGAGUUUUAACUGAGCGUUCAGUUACUUGACGUAGACCCGAAACCGGGCGACCUACCCAUGAGCAGGAUGAAGCGAAAGUAAAAUUUCGUGGAGGUCCGAACCCACGAGCGUUGAAAAGCUCGGGGAUGACUUGUGGGUAGCGGUGAAAUUCCAAUCGAGCCCGGAGAUAGCUGGUUCUCCCCGAAAUAGCUUUAGGGCUAGCCUCAAGGUGAGAGAUACGGAGGUAGAGCACUGAAUGUCCUAGGGGGUAUUGCACCUACCGAAGACUAUCAAACUCCGAAUGCCGUCAUCUUAUACUUGGGAGUCAGACUGUGGGUGAUAAGAUUCAUAGUCGAAAGGGCAACAGCCCAGAUCGUCAGCUAAGGUCCCUAAAUGUAAGUUAAGUGGUAAAGGAUGUGGGAUUGCACAGACAACCAGGAUGUUGGCUUAGAAGCAGCCACUCAUUCAAAGAGUGCGUAAUAGCUCACUGGUCGAGUGAUCCUGCGCCGAAGAUUUCCGGGGCUAAAACUUACUACCGAAGCUACGGCAUCAGUAAUGAUGGGUAGGGGAGCUUCCCAUACGGGUUGAAGCAUGACCGUAAGGACAUGUGGACAGUAUGGGAGUGAGAAUGUUGGCAUGAGUAGCGAGAUGUGGGUGAGAAUCCCACAGGCCGUAAACCCAAGGUUUCCAGGGGAAGGUUCGUCCGCCCUGGGUUAGUCGGGACCUAAGCUGAGGCCGAAAGGCGUAGGUGAUGGACAACAGGUUGAUAUUCCUGUAC
rnacentral:rRNA from 1 species